rnacentral:tRNA from 1 species
GGAGCUGUAGCUCAGUUGGUUAGAGUGUCGGCCUGUCACGCCGAAGGUCGCGAGUUCGAGUCUCGUCAGCUCCGCCA